rnacentral:rRNA from 1 species
GACGAACGCUGGCGGCGUGCUUAACACAUGCAAGUCGAACGGAAAGGCCCUGCUUUUGUGGGGUGCUCGAGUGGCGAACGGGUGAGUAACACGUGAGUAACCUGCCCUUGACUUUGGGAUAACUUCAGGAAACUGGGGCUAAUACCGUAUAGGAGCUCCUGCUGCAUGGUGGGGGUUGGAAAGUUUCGGCGGUUGGGGAUGGACUCGCGGCUUAUCAGCUUGUUGGUGGGGUAGUGGCUUACCCAGGCUUUGACGGGUAGCCGGCCUGAGAGGGUGACCGGGCACAUUGGGACUGAGAGACGGACCAGACUCCUACGGGAGGCAGCAGUGGGGAAUAUUGCACAAUGGGCGGAAGCCUGAUGCAGCAACGCCGCGGGCGGGAUGACGGCCUUCGGGUUGUAAACCGCUUUCGCCUGUGACGAAGCGUGAGUGACGGUAAUGGGUAAAGAAGCACCGGCUAACUACGUG